rfam:Ovis aries breed Texel chromosome 14, whole genome shotgun sequence.
UCCCUGGUGGUCCAGUGGUUAAGACUCUGAGCUUCUACUGCAGGGGGUGUAGGUUCGAUCCCUGGUUGGGGAA